rnacentral:lncRNA from 1 species
CUCUAUCAAAGACCCCUCCUACGUCAGUAACCGACCCACUUACUCGAGCCGAGAAGUACAUCAACAUGGAAGAGACUAUGUUUCCAAAGAGAGAUGCCCCACAUCAGCUAAGCCCGCACUUAAAAGGCAGCAUGAGCUUAAUCUGCAUCAAGAUCAGCCUUAGGGUAAGACAAGGCAUGAUAACCCUUUAGCAGCCUUGACUCGCCUGAAUACCAUAAGAUCUAACAUUUUGAUGGAGAUCAAGGAUAUGAAAGAGCUCAAAUGGCCGUCAAGGAUGACGUCCUCUUCUAAGCCCCAGGACAUGAACAAAUAUUGUGAGUUUCAUCAAGACCAUGGACAUACCACAGAGACAAGCAAAGCCUUACAACGCGAGAUCUAGUCUUUGAUAAAGAGAGGAUUCCUAGGGGCAUAUCUCGGUGAAGACAAGCGUUCGAAGAAUGAUCAUAACUAGGCAAAUACCUCAGGGAUUGGGGACAACAAUAGACCAACGGCGGGUACGAUCAAUGUCAUUGUCUAGAUGGUCAAUGCCAUACAUCUAAUGUACGAGGGUCUUACAUGUUUUUAUGCCCCAUUUAUUUUCAUUUCAUAAUUGGUAGGGCCUGCGCGCCCGUUUUAUCUUUUAGCUGGUCAGGUCUACGUGCCCAUAUUAGUUUGUUAGUUGGUCGGGCUUGCAUGCCUAUACUUUUC